AUUCUACUCCCUCCGUCCGAAAAUACUUGUCGGAGGAAUGGAUGUAUGUAGACGUAUUUUAAUUCUAGAUACAUCUAUUUUUAUGCAUUUCUCCGACAAGUAUUUCUGGACGGAGGGAGUACUAU
rnacentral:pre_miRNA from 1 species